GGAGCACUCACUCAGGGUUUAGAGUCGGUAUCUGGAUUUAAAAUCCCAUGCCUGGACUGGGAUCCGAACCCAGUACCUAAAAGCCUGUAGAUCGAUGGCCGAACCACGACACCACCGAGGCUGGUCCCAUUAAUGAAGUGGAAGUAACACAAUGAUUCAACAGCACACCAUUCAUGAAGUGAAAUUAACACAAUGAUUCAACAUUACGCCAUUAAUGAAGUGGAAGUAACACAAUGAUUCAACAUUACGCCAUUAAUGAAGUGGAAGUAACACAAUGAUUCAACAGCACACCAUUCAUGAAGUGAAAUUAACACAAUGAUUCAACAUUACGCCAUUAAUGAAGUGGAAGUAACAAGGAUUCAACAGCACACCAUUCAUGAAGUGAAAUUAACACAAUGAUUCAACAUUACGCCAUUAAUGAAGUGGAAGUAACACAAUGAUUCAACAUUACGCCAUUAAUGAAGUGGAAGUAACACAAUGAUUCAACAGCACACCAUUCAUUAAGUGAAAUUAACACAAUGAUUCAACAGCCACCAUUAAUGAAGUGGAAUUAACAAUGAUUAAAUAUUACGUCAUUAAUGAAGUGGACGAUUCAACAUCACACCAUUAACGAAGUGUAAAUUAACAUGAAGAUUCAACAUUUAUGAAGUGGAAUUAACACAGCAAACACAAAGAUUCAACAUCACACCAUUAAUCAAGUGUAAAUUAACACGUCUUUAUGAAGAUUCAGCAUCGUUAUUUAUGAAUUGAAACGGUUUCAAAAUAACACCAUUUUUGAAGUGCAAAUUAACAUGAACGAUGUGAAGACUGAACAUGACAACAUCAAUGCAGUGAAAUUAACAUGACAGACACAAAGAAUCAACAUAACACCAUUAAUGAAGUGUAAAUUAACACUACCAAUCUGAAGUUCAACAUGACAAAACUGAUGGUGUAAAUUAACACUAACAUUGUGAAGUUCAACAUGACAUCAUCAAUGAAGUGUAAAUUAACUCUAUAUGAAGUUAAACAUGACACUAACAAUGAAGUGUAAAUUAACACUAUAUGAAGUUGAACAUGACACCACCGAUGAAGGUCAGGUCAGGUUAUAGGGUUUUACGUGCACAUUCAGAACAAGCUGUUGUAGCGCAUGCCACCGAUGAAGUGUAAAUUAACACUAUAUGAAGUUGAACAUGACACCACCGAUGAAGUGUAAAUUAACACUAACAAUGUGAAGUUGAACACGAAACCACCUUUGAAGUGUAAAUUAACACUAUAUGAAGUUGAACAUGACACCACUGAUGAAGUGGAAAUUAACACUAACAAUGUGAAGUUCAACAUGACACCACCUUUGAAGUGGAAAUUAACACUAUAUGAAGUUCAACAUGACACUACCAAUGAAGUGUAAAUUAACACUAACAUUGUGAAGUUCAACAUACCCCCACUGAUGAAGUGGAUUGACUGGAAGUAGCGUAUAAAGUCAUCUCGUACCAAGACUGCAUGUUUAAUUAAAACAAACACGUGCAUUAUCUUAAGAUAUUUAAUCACCAUCUCACAAUGUUACAUUGUAGAAACAAAAUAAAAGUAUAUUUGGAAACAAA